GAUGAACGCUGGCGGCGUGCCUAAUACAUGCAAGUCGAGCGAACGGACGAGAAGCUUGCUUCUCUGAUGUUAGCGGCGGACGGGUGAGUAACACGUGGAUAACCUACCUAUAAGACUGGGAUAACUUCGGGAAACCGGAGCUAAUACCGGAUAAUAUUUUGAACCGCAUGGUUCAAAAGUGAAAGACGGUCUUGCUGUCACUUAUAGAUGGAUCCGCGCUGCAUUAGCUAGUUGGUAAGGUAACGGCUUACCAAGGCAACGAUGCAUAGCCGACCUGAGAGGGUGAUCGGCCACACUGGAACUGAGACACGGUCCAGACUCCUACGGGAGGCAGCAGUAGGGAAUCUUCCGCAAUGGGCGAAAGCCUGACGGAGCAACGCCGCGUGAGUGAUGAAGGUCUUCGGAUCGUAAAACUCUGUUAUUAGGGAAGAACAUAUGUGUAAGUAACUGUGCACAUCUUGACGGUACCUAAUCAGAAAGCCACGGCUAACUACGUGCCAGCAGCCGCGGUAAUACGUAGGUGGCAAGCGUUAUCCGGAAUUAUUGGGCGUAAAGCGCGCGUAGGCGGUUUUUUAAGUCUGAUGUGAAAGCCCACGGCUCAACCGUGGAGGGUCAUUGGAAACUGGAAAACUUGAGUGCAGAAGAGGAAAGUGGAAUUCCAUGUGUAGCGGUGAAAUGCGCAGAGAUAUGGAGGAACACCAGUGGCGAAGGCGACUUUCUGGUCUGUAACUGACGCUGAUGUGCGAAAGCGUGGGGAUCAAACAGGAUUAGAUAUCCUGGUAGUCCACGCCGUAAACGAUGAGUGCUAAGUGUUAGGGGGUUUCCGCCCCUUAGUGCUGCAGCUAACGCAUUAAGCACUCCGCCUGGGGAGUACGACCGCAAGGUUGAAACUCAAAGGAAUUGACGGGGACCCGCACAAGCGGUGGAGCAUGUGGUUUAAUUCGAAGCAACGCGAAGAACCUUACCAAAUCUUGACAUCCUUUGACAACUCUAGAGAUAGAGCCUUCCCCUUCGGGGGACAAAGUGACAGGUGGUGCAUGGUUGUCGUCAGCUCGUGUCGUGAGAUGUUGGGUUAAGUCCCGCAACGAGCGCAACCCUUAAGCUUAGUUGCCAUCAUUAAGUUGGGCACUCUAAGUUGACUGCCGGUGACAAACCGGAGGAAGGUGGGGAUGACGUCAAAUCAUCAUGCCCCUUAUGAUUUGGGCUACACACGUGCUACAAUGGACAAUACAAAGGGCAGCGAAACCGCGAGGUCAAGCAAAUCCCAUAAAGUUGUUCUCAGUUCGGAUUGUAGUCUGCAACUCGACUACAUGAAGCUGGAAUCGCUAGUAAUCGUAGAUCAGCAUGCUACGGUGAAUACGUUCCCGGGUCU
rnacentral:rRNA from 1 species